rnacentral:tRNA from 1 species
GCGGACAUGGCGGAAUUGGCAUACGCGCUAGGUUUAGGUUCUAGUCCCGAAAGGGUUGUGGGUUCGAGUCCCAUUGUCCGCACCA